rnacentral:lncRNA from 1 species
GAACCUCUCACGGGGUCGAGAGGAGCCGCCAGACUCCCGGAAGCUUUGCUGAUGGCAACGUCUGGAUAAACCAGCAGAGGGCACUAACAGUCAGAGAAUUCGGGGUUAGACACACACCAGACACGUACAGACACCUGCGCACACGCACAUGCACACACACACACGCACACUGACGGGGCCUGGAGAUUCACUGAGAUUAAAGUUUGCAAAUCAGCUGAUGGAAGCCACCCCAUCCACACUGAGAAGUCCGGGCGUUGUCCGCGAUGUGAGAGACUGCGUACACAAACAGACAGGAUGUGCAACGGCCGGACCACCUGUAACAGCAGAAUCUGACCAGGACCGGAAGCCACCAGCCCAGAAGCCAGCCCACCAUCGACGGUCACGAGCCAGGAGGCCAAAGCAGAACCCCUGUGGCACUCGGCCUCAAACAGCCAGGACUUGGCCAAUAACUGACCACUUCCCUCAUUUUUUUCCAUUUCCCACUCAGGGCCAAAACACUUCCCUAACCCACCACACCGGCCGCCCCCUUCUAGUGAGCCGGCCCUGCCUCCCCAGGCCCACAGCCCCAUCAGGGCACCUGCUCCCCGCUCCGGCCACUGUGACGCUCUCCCCUCCUCGGCCUGCCUGGGGGUCUCUGCCACACGCAGCGCCACAGCCAGCCCUGCGGGCACAGCCUCUGCCCAUUCGCACUGGGGGCCUUCGCUUAUUCCCACCCCUAGCUUCGUGCCUUUUUGGAGGGCGCCCUUGCUGAGAUGGGCCUGGGGUUAUAGGAAUUUUACAGCCGCUUAAAGGUCUGGUUCCACCUGCCCCGGCGGCACGGGUCCCCAGGGAAAGGCCGGGUGGAGCUGAACUGUGGGAGCCAUCAGUGGACACGUCAUGCCGGGGGGAGGCUCAGAGGGGGCCGGCUGACCAGCGUCCCUUCCCCAUGCCACCUCCGGCCUCAGCCCUACCCCCUGCACACCCCAUCUCCCUCACACCCGCUGACCCUGCGGCCUUGGAACCUGGGUGGGGGCCACCUGGCGAUGGAGCAGUGAUGUCUGAGGUCAGGCUGUUCUGGGGGACGAGGAGGAGACACCGAGGGGGCAUCCGGGCAGUUAUGGCGCUGGUCUGAUCUGGACACGAGGCUCUAGGGUUCGAUUUCGAUGUUUACUUUUCAUCAUAUGGUAGAGGGGAGAUGGUAGCUGGCUUUCCCCAUGCUUCCUCUCCAUGUGUUGCUGGGUUCACGACGGGCAAGCAGCGCUGUGUGGGAGUCUCAUGGCCAAGCAGCAGGCCAACCUUGCUGUGCCGCAACCAUCACCUGUGGGCCAAAGGGAUGGAGCCGGCGCUGGGGGUCAUGUGGUCCACGUGCCAGCCUCGGCUGUGAGGGGAACGGGCUCUCAGGUGCAGGGGCUGCGACCUGUCCCAGGCCAAGGCUGGCAGAGGCAGAGGUGGGGCUGCCGUCAGCCCACUUGGGGACCUGUCGAAGGAGAAAGAGGAGGAAGAGGAGGAGGAAGCCUGCCCAGAGUGAUGGGGAGUUGGGCGAGGAGGGGGAGGUGCCUUUAAGAUGCAGUCGGUGACAGAGGAGGGUGUCGGGGGCUCCAGGUGCAGAUCCCAGGGACACCCCCACAUCUGAGUCUGGGGCGCAGGGGCACCAGGCUGGAGACUUGAGAGUGGGGUCAUCAGCACACAACGGCACUACUGCUGGGUCACUGGACACGAAGUUCCUGGGGAAGGUGGCCCCGGGGCCCAGCGUGUGGGACACGAGGAGGAAG